CACGGGGGGAGCAAGCGUUGUUCGGAAUCACUGGGCGUAAAGGGCGUGUAGGCGGUCGAGCAAGUGGAAUGUGAAAUCCCUCGGCUUACCCGAGGACCUGCAUUUCAAACUGCUCGACUUGAGUACGGGAGAGGAUGAGGGAAUUCCUGGUGUAGCGGUGAAAUGCGUAGAUAUCAGGAGGAACACCGGUGGCGAAGGCGCUCAUCUGGCCCGAUACUGACGCUAAAGCGCGAAAGCUAGGGGAGCGAACGGG
rnacentral:rRNA from 1 species